UUUUUUACACUACGCUCUUGUGUGAGUCUCACAUUUGUGUCCAGCCUUUUUUGGGUCCAGGUCCCUGACAAUUUGUAUUUUAUGUUAGGCCA